rnacentral:lncRNA from 1 species
UUAGACUGUCAUAUGCCGGCAGUACGAGGAUCCGACAUAUCAGGUUACACAUCUAAACUCUUUUUUUACAGUUUAAUAACUGAAUCAUUUAUUUUUAAAUUAAAUUUGUUAUCUACUAAUUUGACUCAUAAUUUUACAGAGACGAUGUGCCCAGAAUGUGGUGAACCGAGCGAGACAAAUUGUGCCGCAUUGUGGGGGUUCGAGAUCAUUUGCUCGUC